rnacentral:rRNA from 1 species
AUUGAACGCUGGCGGCAGGCCUAACACAUGCAAGUCGAACGGUAACAGGAAGAAGCUUGCUUCUUUGCUGACGAGUGGCGGACGGGUGAGUCAUGUCUGGGAAACUGCCUGAUGGAGGGGGAUAACUACUGGAAACGGUAGCUAAUACCGCAUAACGUCGCAAGCCCAAAGAGGGGGACCUUCGGGCCGCUUGCCAUCGGAUGUGCCCAGAUGGGAUGAGCUAGUAGGUGGGGUAACGGCUCACCUAGGCGACGAUCCCUAGCUGGUCUGAGAGGAUGACCAGCCACACUGGAACUGAGACACGGUCCAGACUCCUACGGGAGGCAGCAGAGGGGAAUAUUGCACAAUGGGCGCAAGCCUGAUGCAGCCAUGCCGCGUGUAUGAAGAAGGCCUUCGGGUUGUAAAGUACGUUCAGCGGGGAGGAAGGGAGUAAAGUUAAUACCUUUGCUCAUUGACGUUACCCGCAGAAGAAGCACCGGCUAACUCCGUG